AAAAACUUAGGAUAAAUAAACCAAAAGCCUUCAAAGCUUUAAACAAGGGUAUAAUCCCCUUAGUUUUU
rnacentral:tRNA from 1 species